rnacentral:rRNA from 1 species
GACGAACGCUGGCGGCGUGCCUAAUACAUGCAAGUCGAACGCAGUGGGGACGGGUGAGUAACACGUGGAUCACCUCCCCAUCAGAGGGGAUAACACUUGGAAACAGGUGCUAAACCGAUAUUGAUGGAUGGACCCUCGGUGCAUUAGGUAGUUGGUGAGGUAACGGCUCACCAAGGCCACGAUGCGUACCCGACCGGGGAGGUUGAUCGGCCACACUGGGACGGAUACACGGCCCAGACUCCUACGGGAGGCAGCAGUAGGGAUUCUUCGGCAAUGGACGAAAGUCUUACCGAGCAACGCCGCGUGAGUGAAGAAGGUUUUCGGAUCGUAAAACUCUGUUGUUAGAGAAGCGGUAUCUAACCAGAAAGCCACGGCUAACUACGUGCCAGCAGCCGCGGUAAUUC